CUACGGGUGGCAGCAGUAGGGAAUAUUGCUCAAUGGGGGAAACCCUGAAGCAGCAACGCCGCGUGGAGGAUGAAGGUUUUCGGAUUGUAAACUCCUUUUGUUAGAGAAGAUAAUGACGGUAUAUAACGAAUAAGCACCGGCUAACUACGUGCCAGCAGCCGCGGUAAUACGGAGGGUGCAAGCGUUACCCGGAAUCACUGGGCGUAAAGCGCGCGUAGGCGGGAUAGCAAGUCAGAUGUGAAAUCCUAGGGCUUAACCCUAGAACUGCAUUUGAAACUGUUAUUCUAGAGUAUGGGAGGGGUAGGUGGAAUUCUUGGUGUAGGGGUAAAAUCCGUAGAGAUCAAGAGGAAUACUCAUUGCGAAGGCGACCUGCUAGAACAUAACUGACGCUGAGGCACGAAAGUGCGGGUAUCGAACAGGAUUAGAUACCCGAGUAGUC
rnacentral:rRNA from 1 species